GGUGCUUCGUAUAUAUUGCAUAUGUAUUUAUAUAAACAGGAUAAACUUUUGGCCAAAGAAGUAAAACAUAGACUGUGCUCUUCACUGCUGGAAGGAACUCCUCGAGGCAUUGCUGUGGCUGGAAAGAGCACUAUGUUAAUGGAAACAAUGAUAAAAACAGCUGUCUGGGAGAGUCUGUAACAAACUGCUACAUAAACAACCUUCUGAUACUGAAUUGUUGAAGUCUAACUACGUUCAAAUUGUAAAGACCAAGGACUUCAGAAGGAAGGUAAGUUAUUUUAUGGCUCAUAUAUUUCAUGCAGGUAACACGUCUGCCUAGCAAAGCCACAGAAACAUUGGGGAGAAACAGACUGGAGAUACUGUGGCCUUAUGUACGAGAACAAGAAGUUUCCCUAACAGAACAGAAAGUGUGCUUCUCAAAAUAGCUGGCAUUUGUUAACAGGCUAAGACUUGUGCAUUCUGUGUGCCUCAAUGAGCAUAUAAAAAGAAUUGAUUCAUCUCUGAGAAAUUGAUGACACUUGCUAAAAAUAAAUGAGUUUAAUAUCUCAAAAAUGUAUACACAAUGUAAGCUCUAUCUGUGCUCACAGGAUGUUCUGAUCUUUUCACUGUUUUUUCUUUAGUAAUUAUAUCAGUAGCUUAUGUAGAAAAAUAACAUCAAAAAUAGCUAACUCAGGAAACAACAAAUACUGUCUCUUUCUGUCUGGUAAUAAGAGCCAAUUCCAGCUAACUUUCACUCAACUUAUGCCUUUCUUUCAGUGAUUUUCCUUUUUCUUCUUUUGUAAAUGUUGCUUCUUUCACCUGCUAGACUCAAAGAACAGUAGGGAACAUCAUUAUGACAAUAUAUUAGAUUAUAAAAGCCUUCAAGAAAGCAUGAAAAAAUAUUUUAUAAGCAAUAAAAAGAUAGCAACUUCUUUUUACAACAUCUGUCAUCUUCUAAGGAAAGUUCACAAAAAGAAUAGUUGAAAUACCAAAUUAAAACAAAAUCCUGAAGUGUUAAGAUUAAUGAUGUAAUUCUUGAUGAAAAUUUACCAAAACCAGAAGAACAUAGAGAACAGGAACAAACUGUACUGUACAUUUACAAGACAGAAAUUUCAGUGUUUCCUGCUGAAGUCAAACUGCUAGAAUGAUGUGUAACAGCUUUUUACCAGUACAGUAAUGAGAAUACUGUGCUGAAAAGAAAUUUAAAAUUGGAGGAGGAAAUUCUUAUUAAAAAGGUGGGGGUUUGCAUGUGUGCCUGACCAAGACAUGAUAUGUACAAUCUGGUAAAAGACUAACAGAAAUUAGCAUACAGCUAUGAUCUCCAAAAAAUAAUCUCAGCCUACCUAAACAAAUUUUGAUGGAUUUUCACUGAAAAUAAUAUUUUAAACUGUUUUUCCAGGAUAUGCUGCAGCUCCAUAUAUAAAAAUAUGUAUAUUACAUAUAUAUAUAUUUGUGUAUUAGGAAAUUGAUUUUUGUUUACAUAUCUCUUUUGAAAAGCCACUGAGGAGUUAAAAACAUGUCCCUCUGCAACUUCCUGAACAACAUACUUUUUAAAAUAAAAUCUCAGAGAACUGAGAUCUGAAUAAGCAGCAGUUCCUUGAGAGCCACACUAACAUAAAAACACCUAAACAUGCUUUAUGCAAUCAUUCAUGUGUUAGGAUUAGCUGUGGUUGGCCCUUGCUAUUCCUGUGGAAACUGACAGUCCUGUCUUGUAUCAGGUGUUCUCAAACCAAACCAGUACCAAACUUGGAAUCUUUAUGGAUAAUACAAAGCAAGAAUAAUUCCAGAACAUCAUCAGCACAUUUUCUUUUACUGCAGAAAUGUGAUGUGAUUAGAGAUGUAAGCCAGUCCUACCUUUCACUUGUGGUAAGAGUGCUUUCCCUGGGAAAUCUGAUUGGUAAAAUUAUUCAGAUGGCACUUUAGUCAUAAUGUAAUUACAGUAACUUGCAUGAGAGUGGAGGAUGCACAAGGUCCAGUGGUUAGAACAGGAGGCCAGACCAUUCCUCAUCUUGCUCUUCCUUGCUGUGUGAACAUGAAAAGUUGCUCAACCUUUACAAUUUUGCUUACCCUGCAAAGGCUAUGGGUUUACAUGCAGCUAAGCAAAGGUACUAACUGUAUUGCCUCACCUGUCUCUCAUUUUCUCCCAGUUUUAUAGUACAUGAGUAAACCUGCCAGAAAGGAACAAAAAUUACCUUGUUCAUUUAGGUGGUUUUCAGCUUUAUACACACAUGCACUGGAAUUCUUAUAAAAUAUAAUUGCCUUAAUUGUUUAUCAUCCCAACAUAUAUGUUACCUUCCUAAGCUCAUUAAGAGGCUGCAGUAAAACAAGAUGCAGCAAUGCUAUGAAGGAAAAGACAAAUUUCAACCUAAGUGCCACUGGAGCAAGGAAAGGAAAUAAGGGAUCAUACUUCUGCUUUUCUGUUGAGACAAAAUAGAAAAGGAAAUAGAGCAAGGAAUGAAGUGCAAGAUAAAGAUGUGGCAACAUACAGCACUUGGCAGAGGCUCCUGCCCCUGCCCAAGGGGACUCAGAAGCCAAGGAGAUGGUUACUGCAGCAGAGGGCACUGCAGUGACAAGGAUGUGGGGUGUGGUUGUGGUACUGGCUCUGCUUAAUGGAACUACAGACUUGCUCUGCUGCAAAUUCUGGUACUUUCUGUUGCUUCAAAAUUUUUAUCCCAAAAAGACAGGAGAUGUGCUGAAUGACACUGAAAGGUCUGGGACUGGAGCCAAGCAGGCAAUGACACGUAAGCAAAAAAGGCAAUAAGGAGGAGAAUGUGGGGCAGGUGUUCCUCAAUCAGCAUUCUGCAUCCCACACCACCAGUGGGACCACGAGGAUGAGAUGGGAUGCUUAAGGAAGUGAAACCUCUAAUGAGAAAGCAUCAAAACAAAGUUUCUUACCUUCCUUAUAAUUUCUUCUUUUUCCACAGCAGCUGCAGUCAGAGGGUAUAUUUACAUAGACCUUUGCAUUCCAAGUAGGCUGGAAACACAAACUUAAUAAUUGUAUUGAUAUUCUACAAAUUUAUUAUGAACAUCAUCAAUGAACUGCAAAAAAAUUUUUCAACAAAUCUGAUGUUUGGUGGGUAAUAUAGUAUUAUUUACUUGUGCAAAUUGUGAAGUUGUGAAUGCUUGGGAGAGAAGUUUUCAAGGAGGAAAACUCAUUUUAUAGAUAUGGACUUCACAUUCAUUUAGAUGCUCUAGGCUUCUUUUUACAUGGGAAACCAAAACCUUGUGUGUUAUGUUGGAGAUACUGAGCAUGUCCACAGUGUAAGGCUGUAUUUGGUUAACAUUGUUUUAUUAUUUAAAAUAAGCAUAUAAAACUAGCUCCAACAGUUGCAUCUGUAUCCAUGGGCUUGGAUGACAUUCUGCAUGCUCUUUAAUGAACAUUGGAUUUUUUUUCAAUGAUGAUGUUGGAUGAAUAGAGUCUUCUGCUUUUUGUCAAUGGAAUUUUAUAAGAGUGCAGGAAUUUAGGUUUUGUUAAUGUGAUGGUCAGUUUAUUUAACAUGAUGGUCAAGCAUAUACAAGUGCAAAGGAUUUUAUUCUUUAUUAUCUGUGGUUUAGAAUUUUCACUGUGUGAAAUAACAAGGACAUGCUUGCAGCCACCUGGAGAAGUAUUUCAAUCUUGCUUUCCAUUCUGAUAUCACAGGUUUCAAAAUGAGAAUUUUUCCUCUAUCACCUUGACAAGUCACAUUACUAACUAAAAUAGUGGACUGAAAUGCUGCCAAGACAUUUAAAAAAUACACAUUUCUUUUUUUAAAGACAGCUAUCCUGGUACCACAGUUCUAGAGCAGUUUUAUAUAGAAGGAGUAAUAUAAAAAUUGAAUGGUGAGAUGAUACCAUUUGACAGUUACAUUGGUAUUUUAGGUAUUUCUCUCAGUCAUAGAGGCUAAAAUGGGGAGUCAUUUUUAAUGUAUAAUUUGAAGAACAUUACUAGUGUGGCCACAAAUGUCAGCUCUUAGAACCAUGCCUACACAUUAUCCCCUUUUGGAUGGGAAAAAGGAGAGAGAAAGGAAUUGAAAAUUGAGACUAUAUGCAGUAGAACAAAAACUAAUUCCUGUGGGCUUUUAGGAACAUAAAAGAAAGAACAAUGUAAACAAGUGGAGAUGAAUUAUAGCAAAUUUAAUGAUAAGCUGAAAUGAUAUUUGAAAACAGUAAUCCUAAAGACAAAUAACAUUUUGUGCUUCACAUGCUAAAAGCAGUGUAUCACACAGGAAGAAAUGCUGCAUAGCUGGGGAAGGCAGACACUGAAAAUAAUCUAGGUUAUCUGGUGGGAUCAGAUCCCAACAAAAGAACAAGCUCAUCCACAAAUUUCUGAACUUUCAGGAAACAUAACAAAGAAUAAACAUUAGAAAAGCCUGACUCUGAUGGAAGUCUAAAGUGGGGCUUGAGAAUUCAAGUGCUCAUCUGUGCAGUGUUAGAUAAUAACAACAAUAGGUGAUUUCAUAUCCCACUUCUUUAAAUUUCAACCAUGUAUUACUGUGGUAACCUAUGCUGUGCUACUGAAAAUUGUUGCUAGCAUGUUCCUACUGGUAAUGCAAUUAAAUGUUGAGGGAAAACAUAAACUACAUGAAAAAUAAAACCUUGCCACAAUAAGGAGCCAAAAGGCUAAGUGGGAGAAGUCCCCAGACUGGAAUAUUAAAACCCAGACUGAACAGAACACUGUACAAUCACUUGCUAAAAACAAGGAAUAACAGGAUUCAGGCCCUGACCAUUUCUAGCUGCUGUGACAUUAAACCAAAGUUGCAAAGAACACCUACCAUUUCAGCUAUUCCUAAUGCCAUCUUCUGCUUCUGAUCAGGACACUCACAACUCCAACAAGGUUCACAUUUCUACUGUAAUAUUUGAAGAGGAGUCUGCAAAAGAUAGCAAUUGCUGAUUGAGAAGUUGCUGUGGUACAGAAUAUCAGACUGGCUGGGAGCACCUUAAAGCUCCUCUUGUUCCAAACCCUGCCACAGGCAGGGACAACUUCCACUAGACCAGGUUCCUUCAAGCCCUGUCCAGUCUGGCCUUGGACAUUUCCAAUUUACACUGAUUUUCUAGCUCAUAGUAAAGCUCUUGCUAAGUCAAAGGUGCUCUUUGUAAAUAUCCUAAUCUUCUGUGUUCGUAAGAUCUCAAUGCCUGUGACUGUGGCUAGAAAACUGUUUUCAGAAAUUAAUAGCUUUUCUUAGUACUAAAUAUUUUAUUUAAACACUGAUCCUUGAUAAAUAUUAAGGUUGUUUUGGUGGAAAACCCUAAAUAAUAGAGAUUAUUUCUUUAGUAAAACAGAAAUAACACUUUUAGUUACUAGCACAUUUCUUGUCAAGUUAAUGAAAAUCUGUCUAUGGUCAGUACAAGAGUCAGAAAUAGGAGCUGAAGAGUAACCUUGCCCUAUGUAGUUUUUCCCUGUAUGUAGGAAUUUCUGCCUACAUGUCACAGCCCAGCUUUCUUUUGCAGGCCUGCUCUCUCAAAUCCCUGGCUCUGGGCGUGGCUACUUCUGACUUGACAAUGUCCUGUUUAUAUUGUAUUUCCAGGUCAUGCAAUGCUGCACUUCAGAUGUUGGACUGACAGUAAUACACUGGGUGCUCCUCACAGUUAUGCAAGGAAAACAGAAAAGCAGGGAGUCCCUGCACAGCAUCCUGCACAAUGGCAUCACAGCAGGACUGAUCCCACAGAGCCUCCAGCUGGGCAUAGAUAUGAUAAAAUAGAUGGGCAAUAAAACAGGACCACUGAA